UAUUGCUCUGAAUAGCAACAAGGUGACUGGUUGCCAGCCUGUAAAAUCUGGUAUCGUCCCUGCUGGAGCCAGAGCUUGACCUUAAGAAAAUUCCUGCCAGUUUCUCCGUGGGAGCGUGUCCCUGUGCUGCUGCAGAAGCCUGUCUGCCACAGUGCAGCCUUCUUCCGAAAAAAAGCGAAGGGAGAAGCAUCACGGACCAGCCCCUGCUCUCCGAGGGACACGGACACACGAGGGAGGAGAGAACCAUGUGGAGGGGAUGUUGGAUGGCAGGGACUGGCCCAAGCCAGCCAAAACCCCAAAUAUCUCGUGGUUUCACCUUCCCUGAGAUGGGACGGCGCCUGCUCCUGCAGCCGCAGCCAGCUUAGCCGCGGGAGCGCAGCGAGAAGAGCAGGGAUUGAGAACCAGCUCUGAGGAUCCAUAAAAAUCUCGAGCACGGAAGAGAGAAAAACUCCCUUAAAGCCAGGGCAUAAUCAGAGCUCGCUCUUUGGCCAGGCCGUGCAGCUCUCCCGGGAGCUCCCCGGCUCCACCAGAGCUUUGAGGCGAAGGCAGAGGAGCCGAGCCCGCAGCCACUUGCAGCAGAAGCAGGGAUAAUUCCCUGCACGGGGCCGAGAGCUGAGCCUUGGUCCAGGGAGGGAUUUCUGGGAGUGCUGAGCCUGCAGUUAGCAAAGCAGCAGCCUUCGGUUCAGCUCCACUCGCUCAGGACGGGGAGCAGUCCUUAAAGCCUUCUGGAAGGACACUGAUAUAUUGCUAUAUCAC
rnacentral:lncRNA from 1 species